UGCAAACUGCGAAUACCGGAGAAUGUUAUCACGGGAGACACACGGCGGGUGCUAACGUCCGUCGUGAAGAGGGAAACAACCCAGACCGCCAGCUAAGGUCCCAAAGUCAUGGUUAAGUGGGAAACGAUGUGGGAAGGCCCAGACAGCCAGGAUGUUGGCUUAGAAGCAGCCAUCAUUUAAAGAAAGCGUAAUAGCUCACUGGUCGAGUCGGCCUGCGCGGAAGAUGUAACGGGGCUAAACCAUGCACCGAAGCUGCGGCAGCGACGCUUAUGCGUUGUUGGGUA
rnacentral:rRNA from 1 species